GUGAAAUUCAAACGUCACAGCAAACGGGUGCGAAGCGUUUAUGAUCAGGGUCACACAGUGUGAUUUCCACACAAAUGCUGUGCUUUCACUUUUGCACGAGAAACAAUGUGCUCGUCUGUACGGCCGAAGGUGAUUCACGAAGGCUUCGUUUUCUUCAAACUCGAACAGCCGAGGGUUUUCAGUCAGACGCGCGCGCCGUGAGGAUGACGAUGAUUUCCUGGCAUCUGGGAGGCUACAGCAGCACAGUCUCGGGUGAUCAGCUGGCAAAGUCAGGCAGAAGUGAACCAUGAGCACAGUGGCGCCUUCCCACUUCUCAUGGAUUUGGGGAAGUUGUGACUAAACUGGGAGUAGGAACAAGGCUUUCUACUUUAUAUCAUGUUUGUCACUGUCACACA